GAUAGGGCUCUGAACAACCAGGUAUAGUGAAAGGUGUCUGCCCAUGGCAAGAGGGUUGGAACUAGAUGAUCUCUAAGGUCCCUUCCAACCAAAGCUAUUCUAUGAUUA